GAUGAACGCUGGCGGCGUGCCUAAUACAUGCAAGUCGAGCGAACGGACGAGAAGCUUGCUUUUCUGAUGUUAGCGGCGGACGGGUGAGUAACACGUGGAUAACCUACCUAUAAGACUGGGAUAACUUCGGGAAACCGGAGCUAAUACCGGAUAAUAUUUUGAACCGCAUGGUUCAAAAGUGAAAGACGGUCUUGCUGUCACUUAUAGAUGGAUCCGCGCUGCAUUAGCUAGUUGGUAAGGUAACGGCUUACCAAGGCAACGAUGCAUAGCCGACCUGAGAGGGUGAUCGGCCACACUGGAACUGAGACACGGUCCAGACUCCUACGGGAGGCAGCAGUAGGGAAUCUUCCGCAAUGGGCGAAAGCCUGACGGAGCAACGCCGCGUGAGUGAUGAAGGUCUUCGGAUCGUAAAACUCUGUUAUUAGGGAAGAACAUAUGUGUAAGUAACUGUGCACAUCUUGACGGUACCUAAUCAGAGAGCCACGGCUAACUACGUGCCAGCAGCCGCGGUAAUACGUAGGUGGCAAGCGUUAUCCGGAAUUAUUGGGCGUAAAGCGCGCGUAGCGGUUUUUUAAGUCUGAUGUGAAAGCCCACGGCUCAACCGUGGAGGGUCAUUGGAAACUGGAAAACUUGAGUGCAGAAGAGGAAAGUGGAAUUCCAUGUGUAGCGGUGAAAUGCGCAGAGAUAUGGAGGAACACCAGUGGCGAAGGCGACUUUCUGGUCUGUAACUGACGCUGAUGUGCGAAAGCGUGGGGAUCAAACAGGAUUAGAUACCCUGGUAGUCCACGCCGUAAACGAUGAGUGCUAAGUGUUAGGGGGUUUCCGCCCCUUAGUGCUGCAGCUAACGCAUUAAGCACUCCGCCUGGGGAGUACGACCGCAAGGUUGAAACUCAAAGGAAUUGACGGGGACCCGCACAAGCGGUGGAGCAUGUGGUUUAAUUCGAAGCAACGCGAAGAACCUUACCAAAUCUUGACAUCCUUUGACAACUCUAGAGAUAGAGCCUUCCCCUUCGGGGGACAAAGUGACAGGUGGUGCAUGGUUGUCGUCAGCUCGUGUCGUGAGAUGUUGGGUUAAGUCCCGCAACGAGCGCAACCCUUAAGCUUAGUUGCCAUCAUUAAGUUGGGCACUCUAAGUUGACUGCCGGUGACAAACCGGAGGAAGGUGGGGAUGACGUCAAAUCAUCAUGCCCCUUAUGAUUUGGGCUACACACGUGCUACAAUGGACAAUACAAAGGGCAGCGAAACCGCGAGGUCAAGCAAAUCCCAUAAAGUUGUUCUCAGUUCGGAUUGUAGUCUGCAACUCGACUACAUGAAGCUGGAAUCGCUAGUAAUCGUAGAUCAGCAUGCUACGGUGAAUACGUUCCCGGGUCU
rnacentral:rRNA from 1 species